UCUAAAAGAAAGUCACACAAAUAAAAUGAGCCACUUGUUGAACAUCAUCAGCUUUUGAAAAAAAGUGGUGUAUGUGUGCCUAUGUGUCUGUUCCCCCAGUAAUCUGCCUGCCUGUCUCUCUGGUUUCCCCGCUGCUGUCUCUCUGCCUGCCUGUCUCAUUAGUCCUGAUUCCUCUCACCUGUGUUUCUUCCGCCUGCUUGUUAGUCCCUGGUAUUAAAUGUUUGCUGUUUCUGUUAAGUCUCUGCAAAACAGUUAUUUAAAUAAAUAAUUUACAUUGCACAGUCCCCAAAGGGGCGUCAGCAUUUGCCUGGUAUGCCAGAUUACCAGUCCAGCCCUGACUACAAGGUCAGAGGAUCAUCAGAAUCAUCAGGGUUCAUCUUCUGGGGACCACACAGGUGAACCUCACCAGAUGAAGGAAAAGCUGAGAGAGAUGACAAAAUACAAAACAAUAUUACUGUUUGCCUACCAUUUGCAAUACUAUGUAUUAUAGUGUGGAACGGUUUCCAAACUUAAAUUUUUUUAUUUUGUUACAUUGCUCUAUAUCUCUCUUAUAUCAUGAGCAGUGGAACCUUGAGUAUCUGUGUCAGUUUCUAGCAUGCUUUUCAUGUCCUUGAUUGCUUAUUAGGUUUGUAGUAUGUUUUUCAUAGUUAUGUGUCAUAAUGUGUGUCAGAAUGGAUGCCAUAUUCUUGCUGGAAAACAAAUCUACCUACGGGUACAAAUAAAGUAACAUAAUUAAAAUGAA